CCUACGGGUGGCAGCAGUGGGGAAUAUUGCACAAUGGGGGAAACCCUGAUGCAGCGACGCCGCGUGAGUGAAGAAGUAAUUCGUUAUGUAAAGCUCUAUCAGCAGGGAAGAAAAGGACGGUACCUGAGUAAGAAGGCACGGCUAACAACGUGCCAGCAGCCGCGGUAAGACGGAGGGGGCAAGCGUUCUCCGGAGUUACGGGGUGUAAAGGGAGCGUAGACGGCAGUGCAAGUCUGGCGUGGACGGCGGGGGCUCCACCCCCGGCCUGCUCGGGAAACUGUCCGGCUGGAGUGCAGGAGCGGUACGUGGACUUCCUCGUGUAGCGGUGCAAUGCUUCGAUAUUAGGAGGAACUCCAGUUGCGAAGGCGGCUUACUGGACUGUAACUGCCGUUGAUGCUCGAAAGCGUGGGUAUCAAACAGGAUUAGCUACCCGUGUAGUC
rnacentral:rRNA from 1 species